AAGCGAUCUGUCACUGUAGAAGACACAACAUCUCCCUCUGUCUGUCUCUAUCUCUGCCUGGUCCGGGUUCAGCCCCGGAGACAUGUCUGUGUGACUGACAGCUAAACCAGCCACAGAGAAUAUCCCUCCCUCUGAGAGCGUUGACCGAAGACGGGUCCCACCAACAGGAGCACGUGGCAGAGGAGGAGUCAUCAUAGCUGGCUUGCCACCACCUACCCUCCAUGGCACCCCUGUGACAGCCAUACAGGUUUGUUUCAUCUACAUGAACCUCCUUACCCCGACCUUUCUUCCUCACCAUCCACUAAACACCUGGUUGAUGAAUGGCGUCUCACAACAGGCCACACCUGACACGGUUCCUCAGUCACAAGACUACAGAGUUUCCCAACCUCUGCCCUUGUUCCUGUUACAUUGCACUGUUUUUGUU
ensembl:lncRNA